rnacentral:rRNA from 1 species
UGGGGAAUAUUGCACAAUGGGGGAAACCCUGAUGCAGCGACGCCGCGUGAGCGAAGAAGGCUUUCGAGUCGUAAAGCUCUGUCCUAUGAGAAGAUAAUGACGGUAUCAUAGGAGGAAGCCCUGGCUAAAUACGUGCCAGCAGCCGCGGUAAUACGUAUGGGGCGAGCGUUGUCCGGAAUUAUUGGGCGUAAAGGGUACGUAGGCGGUUUUUUAAGUCAGGUGUCAAAGCGUGGAGCUUAACUCCAUUAAGCACUUGAAACUGAAAGACUUGAGUGAAGGAGAGGAAAGUGGAAUUCCUAGUGUGGCGGUGAAAUGCGUAGAUAUUAGGAGGAAUACCGGUGGCGAAGGCGACUUUCUGGACUUUUACUGACGCUCAGGUACGAAAGCGUGGGGAGCAAACAGG